UACGUAGGGUGCGAGCGUUAAUCGGAAUUACUGGGCGUAAAGCGUGCGCAGGCGGUUUUGUAAGCCGGAUGUGAAAUCCCCGGGCUUAACCUGGGAAUGGCAUUCGGGACUGCAAGGCUGGAGUGCGGCAGAGGAGACUGGAAUUCCUGGUGUAGCAGUGAAAUGCGCAGAUAUCAGGAGGAACACCAAUGGCGAAGGCAGCUCGCUGGGACGUGACUGACGCUGAGACGCGAAAGCGUGGGGAGCGAACAGG
rnacentral:rRNA from 1 species